CUAGAGGUGGCCCAGGCUGUACUUUGUGCUGCCAGAUGAACUCUGUACUGUGUAAGAGUAUCCCAGGUGGUACUGGUUCUGACGGCAUGAAGGGGUCAUGGAGAGCUGCCGAGGCUUGGCGCUGUGAGAGAUGAGGCAAGACCAUUGGUGAAGGUGGAGCCUUACUAGCAAUUGAAUCCCCAGGACUGAAGGGGCAAUGAAGAGAAGCUGAGGCUUGCCACCAUGAAAAGAGCCCAGCAGAGGCUACUGGUGAAAAUGCAGCCCAGUUGCAGCACAAGACCUCAGCACUUUGGAGAUGCCAGUACCAAGGAUGACCACCAAGAACAGCAGCGGCUAUGAAGAGGAGCCGGCCGGAAUCUAGAAGACAACCUGUGUGUGCUGCAGAGGGCAGAGGUGGGCAAGUGCCCUUCGACAGCCAGAGGAUUAGAUCAACAGACGGCUCUGCCACACACUUCUCCACGCUGUACUCUGCCACCAC
rnacentral:lncRNA from 1 species